UACGAAGGGGGCUAGCGUUGCUCGGAAUGACUGGGCGUAAAGGGCGCGUAGGCGGCUUGCACCGUCAGAUGUGAAAUUCCUGGGCUUAACCUGGGGGCUGCAUUUGAUACGUGUGGGCUUGAGUGCGGAAGAGGGUCGUGGAAUUCCCAGUGUAGAGGUGAAAUUCGUAGAUAUUGGGAAGAACACCGGUGGCGAAGGCGGCGACCUGGUCCGUGACUGACGCUGAGGCGCGAAAGCGUGGGAAGCAAACAGG
rnacentral:rRNA from 1 species